rnacentral:tRNA from 1 species
GCCGACUUAGCUCAGCUGGUAGAGCACCUGUCUUGUAAACAGGCGGUCGCGGGUUCGAAUCCCGCAGUCGGCUCCA